rnacentral:lncRNA from 1 species
UGGCCUUAAGAUCUGGAUCAGGAUUUCUAAUAGCGUGGUCCGGACCUCAGGGUCACCUAGAGGGAAGAGGAGGUGCUUGUUAACAAUGCCCAUUACUGGGUCCCUCCCUCCCCUUGGACGCAGGGGAUGGAGAAGGGCCUCAAUCUCAUGACACGAUGUACAUCUUCCAGGUCUGAAACUCAGUGGAAACUGGAUUCUUGGGAAUGCGUCCUGCAGGUGCCAGUUUGAUUUUCCAACAAAUUACUCAGUGCUUUUGGACUCAGGAUGAUGUCAGUUGGCUCCCACUUACCUCCUGGGCUGCUAUUACAUUAUUACUAAAGCACUCGAGGUCCUAGAUGAAAGGUCCUUCUAGUUGUGGGCAUUUUAGUUUUUGAACAGAGGAAUUAUAUUAUCCGGCUUCCGUUUUAACGGGAUUCUUCUGAGUGCAGUGUUGAAGAUGGACUGACUGGGAAGAGGGGCAAAGAUGGAAGCUGGCAGAUGGAAUGGCGCUAUUGCAAUCAUUCAGGCAACAGACGAUGGUGUCUUGGACCAAGAUGGUGGUAAUGGGAAUGAUGAGAACUGGUAAAACUCUGGAUGUAUUUUAAAGGCACAACCUACAAAAUUUGCGGGGUGUUGGUGAGGGAAAGGAGUCAAAGAGGUAUUAGAA